rnacentral:misc_RNA from 1 species
CAGUUGCAGCGGCUGUGCGG